UUCGUGCAAUUCUGUGCGGUUGGCGAUGGGCGGAGACACUAGACUAGACUGUGUCCGACAGCAUCCACUGUUUUGAAUGAAAGGGGAUAGAGGUUGCCUUUUAUACAGCGCGACGACACUGUCAUUAAUUGUCAAUUAUUCACCAACGCAACCAAGUUGCAACUUUCCAAUCAGUAAUUAUACAUUUUCGUGUGUUUUUGCGCAAGUACUGCAUUACACCGAAGGCAAGUGAACGCACCAAUAUCUGAGAUUAGGCAGGUUGACAGCGAAGGUCCGCAGCAGCUCAACUGCAUCCGAAAAGCUACUCAUUCAAACCACCGGAACUACUGUCCAUCAUCUCGGAGGCUCUCGUCGCGUCCGUAAAGGAAGAUGGACUGGACGAACUGAGGUGGAGUGCGAUCCUGGUCUGAUGAAUGUCCUCCUGCCCUGAUAUUUGUAUGUGCCUUUCUCCUCAGCCCAAGUCACAGAUCUCCCCUGAGAGACGGAACAAUCAAGUCCAAUCUAUCAGCGCCUCGCCUUGUCUUGUUCCACUUGCGGUGUAACGGCACUCACCGCG